rnacentral:misc_RNA from 1 species
GUCACUAGCUUAAAGUCAAUGGCUGACCAUGCUCCAACUUUGUAUCCAGAAUCUUCUGUUUAUGAUGAUUGCAUUUCUGUUGAUUCACAGAAGAAACAGCUCACUGUUACUGUACCUGAAGAAACUGGUAUGAUAUCUGAAAAUGAAAGGAACUGGAUUGAUGUUGUCAGGGAAAGUGAGGAUGAUGAGAUCUUGUCACUAGAUGGUGAUCAAGUUCUUGAUAGUUCAUGUUCCCUGUCUGUGGUGAGUGAUUCCAG